rnacentral:rRNA from 1 species
UACAGAGGUCCCAAGCGUUGUUCGGAUUCACUGGGCGUAAAGGGUGCGUAGGUGGUGGGGUAAGUCGGAUGUGAAAUCUCCGGGCUCAACCCGGAAAUGGCAUUGGAAACUACCUUGCUGGAGGAUUUGAGGGGGGAUUGGAAUACUUGGUGUAGCAGUGAAAUGCGUAGAUAUCAAGUGGAACACCAGUGGCGAAGGCGAAUCCCUGGAAAAUGCCUGACACUGAGGCACGAAAGCUAGGGGAGCAAACAGG